rnacentral:rRNA from 1 species
AUGAACGCUAGCGACAGGCCUAACACAUGCAAGUCGAGGGGCAGCACAAGGAGCAAUCUGAGGUGGCGACCGGCGCACGGGUGAGUAACACGUAUGCAACCUGCCUGUAAGCGGGGAAUAACCCGUUGAAAGACGGACUAAUACCGCAUAAUACUAAAUUACUGCAUGGUAAUUUAUUUAAACAUUUAUGGCUUACGGAUGGGCAUGCGCAUGAUUAGCUAGUUGGAGAGGUAACGGCUCCCCAAGGCAACGAUCAUUAGGGGUUCUGAGAGGAAGGUCCCCCACACUGGUACUGAGACACGGACCAGACUCCUACGGGAGGCAGCAGUGAGGAAUAUUGGUCAAUGGACGAGAGUCUGAACCAGCCAAGUCGCGUGCAGGAAGAAUGUCCUAAUGGAUUGUAAACUGCUUUUGCAGGGGAAUAAAGUGCAUCACGUGUGAUGUUUUGUAUGUACUCUGCGAAUAAGGAUCGGCUAACUCCGUGCCAGCAGCCGC